rnacentral:snRNA from 1 species
GUGCUUGGGCGAGAGUAGUAC